UUGUUAUGUAUAUAUAUAAAUUUCUAUAUUUAUUUACGUCAUAUAAUAUAAACAUAUUAAUAUUAGGUAUGGAUUAGCUGGAACUAAAACACUGUGGGAGUGAAAAUGUGUAUGGCGCGGUGGUGAUACAACACGUACUGCUUGUACUUCAUGAGGAUAACAUGGAUGCUCAUAUUGUGCUUGCCGUCCUGUAGGUAAGCCUUCUUUUUCAAGAGGAUGAGACCAAUGAGUAGUUUUUGUAUUGUGAUCUAUAUAAUAUUUUCUACCUCUAAGAGUGAAGUCUACAGACCAUCCAGGAGGUAAAGGAAGUUCUUCUUGUUGUUCGUUCCUAGAACUUGAUCUUUCUGAAUGGCAACGACUAUAUCUUAAAAAUACAAACAUAAACAAAAUAUG